UCGCGCCGCUGCCGAUGUGUGCGCUAGGGAUGGCACAGCCGACGCAUGGGUGUCUAGCGCUCUUACAUGGAGCUUGCCGCACAUGAGGCCUCCACUUACGCCUGUGCCGCCGCCCCUGACGCGUCGGUGUUCAACGUCGACGAUAGGCUGCUCUCCAAACCCCUGCUACGCCCACCAUUGAUAGGGCCACGGGUGAGCCAGACCCUCAAUUCCCUCCACAUCAUUUUUUAUUCGUGGCCUGAUAUAAUGCUCAUGUGUGUUUGUUGUUCGUUUUGGAAAUGGCAGGUUUGAAUUAUUCGACCAGCGAGCUCGUGGAGAUCGGAGAGGUGCCAGUGACCCUUUCCAUAGUGUGAUGUUGUAUGACGCAAGGGAGGCCGGCUUCAAGACCUUCCUGCCCAGCUGCAGAGUGGACAAUCUCAAAAAACAAGGGCUCCAUGAGUGGGACAAGCUCAUAUUGAGAUGACAUGUACAGGCAAGCAGCUAAUUUAGUCUGUUCCAGAGGUCAAUGAUCUUAUUUGCGCAAAAUAGAAACAUAUAUGAAUCUUGAAAUUUAUAUAUUUUGGUCUGGGCUAGACAAAAGAAUACAUGUACAUCACUAUCAACGGAUCUUAGGGAGAAAACCCUUCUAUGAGAAAAGACUACAGAAAUGGAACUAGAGAAAUGGGAAGGGAUGGAGAGGCUACUGAUUUGCACAUAGCAGGAUAUUAUUUGGCACAACUAUGAGUAAUAGAAAUUAGAUUAGUUUAUCACGUUAUUGCUCUUAGUACUGCUUCUAUCUGUCUCGUUGUGAUGCAAGAAGGUUCAAGUGCAUGGAGCAUAUGUAUAUAUAUAAUAAUAUAACAAAUACAAUUGCCAUAGUGGGAUUUUCCUUUCA